rnacentral:lncRNA from 1 species
UGCUGAUAAGAUUGUGCGUUCCAUCCAGGACUUGUUCACUUCCUGGGGGCAAGUCAAGACGUCUCGCCCUGCUUCAACCAGUCGUCCUUCUGCUUCUUCAGAGGAAGAUAUGAAGUUCCUCAAGCAGUCGAUAUUUGAGUAUGUGUCCUUUAUGGAUAUGGACAUCGGUCAGGCUAGUGCUGCCAAACAUAAGGAUAAGCUUGAGCAUUUGAGUGCGAAGUUGGCGCAAGCACUGACACUUCCGUCGCUCAAUCUUUCUGCUGAUUUUAAAGCGACGUUGAAAGUUGUCCAUUCCGAGAUUCUCUCCUUGCUGGCCAAAAAUGUUGAACUGAAGGCCAAAAGUACUCAAUAUCUUCGCGCUGUAUCUGAAAGAGAGUCUUUGCUUCUGGAGAUCAACAAAGCUGAGGACGAAUUGAAA